rnacentral:rRNA from 1 species
AACGAACGCUGGCGGCAGGCCUAACACAUGCAAGUCGAGCGCCCCAGCGAUGGGGAGCGGCGGACGGGUGAGUAACGCGUGGGAACGUGCCUCUUGCUACGGAAUAGCCUCGGGAAACUGGGAGUAAUACCGUAUGUGCCCUACGGGGGAAAGAUUUAUCGGCAAGAGAUCGGCCCGCGUUGGAUUAGGUAGUUGGUGGGGUAAUGGCCUACCAAGCCGACGAUCCAUAGCUGGUUUGAGAGGAUGAUCAGCCACACUGGGACUGAGACACGGCCCAGACUCCUACGGGAGGCAGCAGUGGGGAAUCUUAGACAAUGGGCGCAAGCCUGAUCUAGCCAUGCCGCGUGAGCGAUGAAGGCCUUAGGGUUGUAAAGCUCUUUCAGUGGGAAGAUAAUGACUGUACCCACAGAAGAAGCCCCGGCUAACUCCGUGCCAGCAGCCGCGGUAAGGCACGACUGU